GUUAUUAUAUUUUGCAGUUUAAUCUUACGUGGAUUGGGAGGAUUUUUUAUCAGGAGAAAACUGGACAAAGUUGCAGGACAAAAAGACACUAUUUACAGAGCUGUGUUACACACUGUAAGUUGGAAUGGUAGUAAAUGCAAGCAGUUCCUAUCAAUUAUGUUUUUAAAAGUAGUAUAUGAUAACAUUCUUCUUCAGGAGAAUUAAAAAAAUAAGAAGAUGUGGUAUGAUUGCCAAUGAGACAACUCUCCAACCGGGAUCAAAUCAGUUCAGCAACAAACAAAAGUGUAAAGGAGAUCUACAUACUACAAGUUUCUCAAAAAUUUACUUUUCUACUCACAACCUAUUUUCGAUCUAUUUGAGGUGAAUUGCCUAGGUGAUGUUGUGGUAGUGUCCUCCUCACAAAUAUGGAAGUUAUUUUUUGAUACUCAUUAAACCUCAAAUCAACACUGAAUUGCGGUAUUAAAUGCUUUUCAGCAAAACAUAGAGCCUUUAAAAUUAAGGGCAGUCUUUGAUUGGCAUCAUAUGACAGAAAAAUGUAUCCAGAAUUGUAUGAAAUGUCUAUUUGUUUCAUGUAAAUAGAUGUAGGAAGAUGUGGAAUGAGUGCCAAUGAGAUAACUCUCCAUCCCAGAAACAAUUUAUAAAAGUAUACCUUUAUAAAUCAAGGUACUGCCUUCAAUAUGGAGCUUUGGCUCACACCGAACAGCAAUCUAUAAAGGGCCCCCAAAAAUUACUAGUGUAAAACCAUUCAAACAGCAAAACCAAGUCUAGUCUAUAUAAAAACGAGAAGCUCGAAAAAGCAUAUACUGUAAGUCAGACUUAAAAUGUUGAUGUAGUAUUAAGCAAGAUUUAUUUAGACUAAUUAACCUUGUGCAUAAAAUCCAAUGUUAUAAAUGCAUGCACUCAAUUGAAUUCAAUUUUUAACAGUACAUGCAAGAAAUACUCAAGAGUGGAGAAGACUUAGAAUUUUUCAUAGAAGGUGGAAGAACAAGGUCAGGGAGAGCUUAUCAUCCAAAAGGAGGCUUA
rnacentral:lncRNA from 1 species